rnacentral:sRNA from 1 species
GUGCUGAGUGCUUCCAGCAGCAUAGGCACACAAAAGCGCAAACAUGCCUACCGCAGUGCAAACUGAGAGAGCAUAACUUCGUAUGGCUGGCCUGUACAGGUUCGGAUUCACAAGGAGUAUAAUUAGGGCAAUCGAUGACAUGAAGCUCAUUGAAUUGCAGUAGAAGAAAGCCUUAUAACGGCGUGGAUAGUUGUAAAAGAGGACAGGGUCACCUGCAUGGUGCCCAAACUCAUCAUCCAUCAGCCAAAAUCCGCCUGGUGGGGUCAACCCAGCUUGGUAAGUAAGUGUCACACACAAGACAGCAAAAAGGAGCAACCUCUUGCGUCUCUUGUCCUCAAGUUUCCGGUCCUUCUCCCUGCCUUCCUUUCGUAUGUCUUCAUCUUCGAGCGUGACAAACAGAACAUGAAUAACCACAUAGAUUAGGACAGCUCCAGCCAAGGCAAUGACAUAAAUGGAUGUGGUUACAUCUCGGCAGCUCCCAGAAGAGUAUGCACCAAUGAGGCCAAACAGAUCCAAUAUCAUGGCAAACUGGAGUACGCGGAGCUUGAGUAUAGGCUUAUACUGGACCAAGAUGAUGAUGACCAAGGACGCUGCGAAGGCUAUUGAGUUGCAGUAAAAGAAUACCCUGUAACGUUCUGGUUGCAUGGAUAGGAGUAUUGAAUCGCCAGCCUCAUGUCCGUUCCAGUUGUCCUGCCAAACACCACCAGGAGGGACCAGUCCUGCUUGGUAUGCGACGGUUGCUACAAGGGUUGAAAGCAGUACAACAAGAGAUUGAGCCUUAUCCAUAAAAUCUGCAUUUCUUGUGUUCUUCUGUGCUCCAGCAUUGCUUGUCUUCGUCUCUUCACCACCAUUGGUUGUGGUUGGCUGUGCUCUAGCAUUGCUUGAGACAGACUCUGCACCACCAUUGCUUGAGACAGACUCUGCACCACCAUUGCUUGAGAGAGACUCUGCACCACCAUUGCUUGUGUUUAUCUGUGCUCUACAAUUGCCUGUGCUCGUCUGUUCUUCAACAUUGUUUGACCUGGUGAUUCAUGAGCCAUUGAGCAUGCAAAUUUAAGAUGGAAUUACAGAUGGCAAUAAUAUUUGGAAGCAGAAAAAGCAUUCAAUACCUGUCAUUUGAAUAUGUCUGACAGGAUAUAAUCGCCUUGAGGACAAUAAUGCAUGCAAGAACGGCAAGAACCAGACUGCCCACAUAGAUGGUAGUGUCACAUUCUCGGCUGCUUCCGGUGGCAUAGGCCCCCGCAAGACCGACAAAAGCGAUAAAGAUGUAUGCUUUGAGCACAAAGGUCCGUACUGGGCUGGUUUUGUUCUGAUUCUUGCCCUUGAGUAGUGGGAUGACGAGCUGCUUGUCUAAGAGCAGCAUAAUGAUGAGCAGGGACAUGACAAAUGCAAUAGCAUUAAAGGUGAAGAAUGCCUUCAGGCGGAUAGAAUGGUGUUCCCGCAUGACUGGGUCACCUGCAAUGUGGCCCUCCUUGCUGCUGUCCCAGUAGCCACCAGGCGCGCUCAACCCAGCCAGGUAUGUGAUGCUCAUCACAAAUGUAGCAAGAAGUAGCAGGAGCUUGCGGCGUCGCUCUUUUUCCUCCUCUUUGUUUAUCUCCCCUUUGCCAUCAGCUGAUUCCAGUUGCCCCUUUGCUUCCUUCUUUUUGCUAUCACCUGGUUGUGAUUAUCCUGUUGCUGUUAGGAACAGUUUAUGAUCUCUGUCAAAUGUGCAUUAGAGGCAUUACCUGUGCAUCUGAACAAUUGUGAUUUCUCAGAGAAUGAAGUCAGCACAACUUGAACAGCCAUAUAGACAAAAAUGGCGACUAACACGCAGGCAUUCUUGGCUUUUAGCACACCCCGGCUGGUCCCAGCAGCAUAGGCCCCCACGAGGCCAAGCAGAUCCAGCAUCAUGGCCACCCGCAGUGGGAUCAUGGAGAUCCAUAGCUCUUCCUUCUCGUGUACGACGGCAAGGAUGAGGAUGAGGAUGAUGACCACAAUGGACAAAGCAAAUGCAGCCGCAUUGCAGUAGAAGAAAACAAGGUACCGGGGAUAGUACGUAUCUCGGAUGAUGGACUCACCGGCGAGGUGCCCGGCCUCGGUAUUCUGCCAGACACCCCCCGGCGGGUUGAACCCCGCAGCAUAUGUCACCGUGGCCACCAUAAUGGCCAGCAGCAAGAGCUGGGGAGCAAUGACAGAAAGGAGGUGCCUCAAGGCGUCAAUGACUCUAUGCCAAGCAGGUGCUUCACCAUGCAUACAUUAGCUUAAUGGAGGCUGGCCAUGGGCAGACCUUUCUUCCAAUCCUUGUCAGUUUUAAAAGUGUAGUUGUUUUUUUUUAAGGAAACAAGUGAUGUUGAUUCGAGCUCAUCUUGUUUAUUCCUUUUUAUC